UACGAGGGGGGCAAGCGUUGUUCGGAAUUAUUGGGCGUAAAGGGUGCGUAGGCGGUCGGGUAAGUCGGAUGUGAAAUCCCAGGGCUCAACCCUGGAACUGCAUUCGAUACUGCCUGGCUAGGGUACUGGAGAGGAGACUGGAAUUUACGGUGUAGCAGUGAAAUGCGUAGAUAUCGUAAGGAAGACCAGUGGCGAAGGCGAGUCUCUGGACAGUUACCGACGCUGAGGCACGAAGGUCAGGGGAGCAAACGGG
rnacentral:rRNA from 1 species